CCAAUGAAUUUUUAGGAAGACGAACUGCAUAACAUUUACAUAAAUCAGAAACUGUUGAUGGUUGUCUUUCCAUGCACUGGGGCCAUCCAUGAAGGAAGCUAUAAGGCAUCUUUCAUGUAUGAGGGUACUGAUGCUGAACUAACAGCCAGGAAGCAGAGGGGUAGCAAGGACUGUGCCUAAACCACCGACUCAGGGUCCUGCCUCUGGCCCACCUCCAUUAACCAACCUGGGGCUGGUCACUGGGACUCUGGAGAGAAGCCCUAAAAGCGUCUUCUGUCCCUCUGCCUUCCAGCUGCUUCCAUUUUCCCUAACUUGGAGUAAAAUCUCAGCUGUACACAUGGAUACAGGAACUACAUCACUUGCUGGCGCUGGCCUGUCCUGAGGACAGCAGGAAUUCUCCAUCAGGAUCUUCAGUGUGUUUAGUUAUAUUUCAUCAGAACUCAUGUGGGUGUCAGAAAAGUGGAGCUCAUCAUCUUGAUACUUCAACCUUGUAGAAAAAGACCCUACUCUGAGGUUUGCCAUGUGAAUUUUGGGUUCUGCUGCUCAAAUACCUUUUUCUGCAACUGCUUUUAGUGAAUGAAUCUUGUGACUGUAAAUGUCACGUGUGCUACGACAGUACUUAAAGCCAAAUUACCAGAAAAUGCUCCACUCGAACAGGGGAUUUUAAUCAGUGUUUGUUGGUCACUCAAAUGCUGCUGAACUAGAAAUUCUUUAAGAGGCAGGCACACAUGUACACUCGGAAGUGAAGGAUAUUUAUAUCCUCCAGCACUAUGCCAGAGGAAGAAGGGCACAAAGUCCUUCCACACGUGGAGAAGACUCCAUGGAAGGACAGGUACAGGGGGAGGAACGAGCAGAUGCUGGACAGGAGGCAUUAAAGCCAAGGCUCAUCUGCAUGGGGCCGGUCCAGCUUGCACCAGGAAGGUUCCCGAGUCGGCUCCCUGCCAAGGCCGCCGGCGGAGGUGGGGGGAUGUGAUCAAUAGGAGGCAUCAAGUGUUGGCUUGGGAAUCAAAGGCAAAAGUGUGGAAAUGCCACUCUGCAAAUGGGGUUUCACUGCGCUGCCAGGAAGUUCUCUAGAGGCAUUGGAAGACCAACCUGCUAACAGGAAAUUAAUCAGCAGCGUUUUUGAGCGGCUCCUCGGCUGGUGAGUGCUGCUGGGGCUAUUUAUACCUCUGAACUACAGCAAUUUACCCUGUUAAGGAGCUGCUCAGAUGUCACACAUUAGCCACUGCCAGAACAAGUGACCUUUCUGCACAGUACAUUAAGAGCAAAGAGAUGAAAAUUCCCGUUUUCCAAGCAUGGUCCAAAAAAUCCUCUGUGCUCUUGUUAAACCAGCUGCAUUGAAGAGGAAUGAUUAGAUCUGGCCUUUUUUUUUUUGGCCUGCACCUGUCUCUAGUUCCACAGCUGAGGACACACUGAAAUCUACUUCCCUCCAGACCUGAUUCUGUAAGAGCUUCAGGUGGUAAUUAAGUUCAUCAUUAUCUACAUCUAUUUCUGCUUAAACAUUUGAGGGGAAAAGCCACCUGAAGGCCCAGCAGUGGCUGGAACUUGCAGUAAUGAACAACCCACAGGAGAAAAAAAAGCUCCUCCAUUUCUCAGUCCCCAAAUGGGUGAGAUUUUUCUUGGUUAUCAUUCUUAAGGAAGUGGAGGCCUUGCUAAGGAGGGAGGAUCAUUUUGAGCAGCCUUUUGAGUUAGUCUCUUGAGAAGGUGACAGCUUCACUCCCAGCUAGGAAGAAAGAUUCCCUGACCGUUCUAUCAAGAAAUACACAGGAAAGAACUGUGCCAGAUUACUGCAGAAAAGAACAGACCAUCGACAGUAAAGGGAGCUGUGCUUUCCAGGAGUGCCUACACCACUCAAAGCCAGGACUUUGCUUCAAAUCCCAUCCCUCACUUUUGGGAUAUAAAGGGGCUGCUCCAAGGCCAUGGAUCAAGGACUGAGCAAGUCCAGGUCACAGUUUUGAAUGUUCCUGCUCAGGACAUGCUAAAGAAUCUAAAAGUUCAGCAAAGUGGCUGCACAUUGGGGCAUGAAAGUGCACUUACAGGAUUAUUUUUUGCAUUGAAGAGAAAUCAAGCAUUUUCUUCUGUAUAAAGAAAUGUCUUGGACAUGAAGAAGAAAAGGAAUAUGUUAAUCCCUGUGUUACUGAUUUGCUAUUUUAAAAUUCCAGUUGUCCCUGGACUCACUAAGCAUGUAAGAGGGAAACACAGUGAUGAGGGGAUAUAAACCCAAGGGCCAGGACAUAAAGCAGAGGAUAUGAUAUGUCAGAGCAUAGGAACUGGGCUUGUGGAUGAAACCAACAUCAGAGAGGCACUCCAGGAGGAAGCUUCCUAAGCUCCAGGCAGUGAAGACUGGAAAUUCAGCAGUCAAGAUUGUGGAAAAUUCAGCCACAUGUACGGUGUGGAUGUCGGGUUCCCACUACCAGCUGUGCUUCUGCUCCUGCUUAGCUUUCCAGUGUAGGUAGAGCCAUCUGACACCCAGGUCACUUGGGUGAUUACAUCUUCUCUGAUUAGCAAAAAUGAUGCUUGUUCUGGUAACACACUUGCUUCCAUGUACGGCGAAUAUCAGCGCAUCUUGGGCAGAACACAAAGCUCCUUGGGAAUUUCACUGCUGAAGUCAGUGACACCACGUUUCAUCUGUCCAA